rnacentral:sRNA from 1 species
GCGUCUUGCCCUUCCUGGGCGUUUCCUCCCUAUAGACUUUCAUGCCGCGCCUCCGGGCGCGGCUUUUUUUUGGCUGAU